UGUUCCAAUCUAUGACCUCCCUCUCCUGCUGGUACAAGGACGUGUGUUCCUUAGAGCAAAGGAUGCAAUGUCAAGCAAGUUGUGAUACCUCAACUAUCUACAAUUUAACACCAAUGAAAGAACACUGUUUGGAGAAAUGAGAAAGAUUAUCAUCAGUGUCUUUCAGAAGUCAUCAAAGGAAGAAAAGGACAAAAGAGAGGAGAAAGCAGAAAGCUCUGGAGUCUGGGAAGUUCAAGAGCAUGGCACCAGCAUCUGGCAAGGGCUUUCAUGCUGCAUCAUCUCAUGGAGGAAAAUAAAAGGGAGGUUGGAUGCUCCUGUGAAGUACGUCUUUUAUCUACUUGCUAUCUUUGCAAUUCCUUCAUGCUACAAUGAGAUAUAGAGUUUAAACCUGAAAACAUUCUUGGAAAAGGAAGCUUCAUUAAUUCAAAUAUACCACAAGGUUCUGCCACUGUGGCCAUCACCCGGGAUUGGAGAAAGGCAAAUGGAACAGACCCACUCAGAAUUACAGUCCUCAUUUAUUUCAUCAGAGGCUGGCCUGUACUUCCA
rnacentral:lncRNA from 1 species